GUGGUCAGUCUUGACCACUGGUAGCACGUGAUUUGUGGAUGAUGGCUGCAGGUCUGGAAGUCUGAGAUCUGC